GUACACGCUGUGACUAGCAUAUCAAUAAGCGGAGGAAAAGAAACUAACAAGGAUUCCCCUAGUAACGGCGAGUGAAGCGGGAAGAGCUCAAAUUUGAAAUCUUAAAGGGUUUCCCUUUACGAAUUGUAGUUUAAAGAAGUGUUUUCUGUUGAGGUUUUGGUAAAAGUUCUUUGGAAUAGGAACAUCAUAGAGGGUGAGAAUCCCGUAUUUGACCUUUACUUUCAACUUUGUGAUACACUUUCAAAGAGUCGGAUUGUUUGGGAAUGCAGUCCAAAAUGGGUGGUAAAUUUCAUCUAAAGCUAAAUAUUGGCGAGAGACCGAUAGCGAACAAGUACCGUGAGGGAAAGAUGAAAAGAACUUUGAAAAGAGAGUUAAACAGUACGUGAAAUUGUCAAAAGGGAAGCGUUUGACACCAGUGUUGUUUUUCUGAAAAUCAAUUAAAGAACUGUUUAUGCUAAGCUGUUUAGACUUUAUCAGCUUAUCUGCACUUUUUUCUUAUCUUUUUUAAUGCACUUUUCGUUUAACAAGUCAACAUCAAUUUCUUUUGUUGUAAAAGAGUCAUUGGAAGGUGGCUUUUUCUUCGGAAAAAGUGUUUAUAGCCUUUGGCUUCUGCAAUCGGAGAGAUUGAGGUCUGCAGCGUAGAUCCUUCGGGGUUAGAUACAUUUGUGCUAAGCUAUAGUUCUUUAUAGACAACUUGUUGACUAUAAUCAAUCCUGUAACUUACUCGCUUAUGCUAUUUUACCUACGCUUAGGAUGUUGAUCUACAGAGCGAGAGU
rnacentral:rRNA from 1 species